UCCAUAUAAUUCACACAAACUCCUAUUUUGUGACUUCCCUAUAAAAUCAUCUGCUUCCUGCAGCAACAACGCCGUCAUCUCUAUCGAUCUGCUAACGACAAACAUUUGAAGUAAAGGCGAAGAGUUUGAGCUUUGAGAUUGUGAUGGUGGAUCUAUAUUAAAGUGUUUGGAUCUGAUUGAAUGACAUGGAACAUGAAGGAGAUCUCCCUCUGUUUCUGAAGAUUUGUUUGCUUUUCAUUAACUUUGACAAGGACAAGAUGAGAUCUCAUGGAGAUUAUCUUGUCUCAAUUAUUGGAAUGGGUGUUAUCGGAAUUAUAAUUUUGCCUUUGGAUGUGAGUCUACCAGGUGCUACCAAAAGUAAGAACAUUUAGCAAUGGUAGAUGUUAAUGUCAUCAUUGAUCUGGUUUCUAACGACACAGUUUAAAGUAAAGAAACACCUAGGCUAUCUCAUUUCGUAGACAUAAUAAAUGAGGAUAUGCAGACCAAAAUGAGAUAAUUGGAUGUUGCAAAACUAGGUGUUGAAGACCACAUGAAUAUGAACAAAUGAAAUUGUCUUAUCAUUCUAAAGUAAGUGGUUGGUUGGAAGAAGUCGAAAAGAUCAAUGAAGCAUUCCUAAUCAUGUCGGCAGUUUUUUCGGUGUCAUGACUAGACACAAGCUUGGAAAGAAAGCCUUCAAGAUAAUUGAGAAAUUGCAAAUUCUCACGAAAACAAUCAAUCAUGAUGAUCUUGACUAAUAAUCGAGUAAACGAACCGAACCACAAAUCCGCAUGACAACCUUAUGCUUAUGGGUGGGGUGAGUAAAACCAUGAAAGUUGAAGAAGGUUAUAAAAAAAAUCAUUUUAUUGUUGAGACGGUUAUAGGGAAAAAGACAGACACCAUUUAUAGUAGAGGUAAUAAAAACAUCUGAGUAGUUAUUGGCAAUGUGCGGCACUGGAAAACUUCAAUUGGGUGGUGAUGAUGAUGAUCACAUAAUCCCACAGCCAUGGUGGACCGAUGGUCAUCAGGAAAAAUAACCAAAUGAAGAUGUAUUUUCUUAGAUAUUUUUCUCGGUAUUUUGUAUUUUCUAUGUGAUGUAUAUUUUCUGUCAAUGUCUCAUUUAACUAGUGUUUUAACGGGUUGAUUGAAAAAAAUGUAUUGACUUUUACUUUUUUUUAUAGCAUCCUACUUUCAUUUGUUUUCA